UACGGAGGGUGCAAGCGUUAUCCGGAUUCACUGGGUUUAAAGGGUGCGUAGGUGGGUCUGUAAGUCAGUGGUGAAAUCUCCAAGCUUAACUUGGAAACUGCCGUUGAUACUAUAGACCUUGAAUGCUGUGGAGGUGAGCGGAAUAUGUCAUGUAGCGGUGAAAUGACUUAGAUAUGACAUAGAACACCAAUUGCGAAGGCAGCUCACUACCCAGAUAUUGACACUGAGGCACGAAAGCGUGGGGAUCAAACAGG
rnacentral:rRNA from 1 species